rnacentral:misc_RNA from 1 species
GUUCCGUAGGUGAGCCUGCGGAAGGAUCAUUACAGUAGUCGCCUGGGUUGCCGCAAGGCCUCCCAUGUAACCUACCACCCUUUGUUUAUUACACUUUGUUGCUUUGGCGGGCCUGCCCUCGGGCUUCUGGCUCCGACCGGCGAACGCUUGCCAGUGGACCUAAACUCUGUUUGUGUAUACUGUCUGAGUACUAUAUAAUAGAUAAAACUUUCAACGACGGAUCUCUUGGUUCUG